CUACCUGACCUAGCGGCGGACGGGUGAGUAAUGCUUAGGAAUCUGCCUAUUAGUGGGGGACAACAUUCCGAAAGGAAUGCUAAUACCGCAUACACCCUACGGGGGAAAGCAGGGGAUCUUCGGACCUUGCGCUAAUAGAUGAGCCUAAGUCAGAUUAGCUAGUUGGUGGGGUAAAGGCCUACCAAGGCGACGAUCUGUAGCGGGUCUGAGAGGAUGAUCCGCCACACUGGGACUGAGACACGGCCCAGACUCCUACGGGAGGCAGCAGUGGGGAAUAUUGGACAAUGGGCGAAAGCCUGAUCCAGCCAUGCCGCGUGUGUGAAGAAGGCCUUUUGGUUGUAAAGCACUUUAAGCGAGGAGGAGGCUACUUGGAUUAAUACUCUAGGAUAGUGGACGUUACUCGCAGAAUAAGCACCGGCUAACUCUGUGCCAGCAGCCGCGGUAAUACAGAGGGUGCGAGCGUUAAUCGGAUUUACUGGGCGUAAAGCGUGCGUAGGCGGCUUUUUAAGUCGGAUGUGAAAUCCCUGAGCUUAACUUAGGAAUUGCAUUCGAUACUGGGAAGCUAGAGUAUGGGAGAGGAUGGUAGAAUUCCAGGUGUAGCGGUGAAAUGCGUAGAGAUCUGGAGGAAUACCGAUGGCGAAGGCAGCCAUCUGGCCUAAUACUGACGCUGAGGUACGAAAGCAUGGGGAGCAAACAGGAUUAGAUACCCUGGUAGUCCAUGCCGUAAACGAUGUCUACUAGCCGUUGGGGCCUUUGAGGCUUUAGUGGCGCAGCUAACGCGAUAAGUAGACCGCCUGGGGAGUACGGUCGCAAGACUAAAACUCAAAUGAAUUGACGGGGGCCCGCACAAGCGGUGGAGCAUGUGGUUUAAUUCGAUGCAACGCGAAGAACCUUACCUGGUCUUGACAUAGUAAGAACUUUCCAGAGAUGGAUUGGUGCCUUCGGGAACUUACAUACAGGUGCUGCAUGGCUGUCGUCAGCUCGCGUCGUGAGAUGUUGGGUUAAGUCCCGCAACGAGCGCAACCCUUUUCCUUAUUUGCCAGCGGGUUAAGCCGGGAACUUUAAGGAUACUGCCAGUGACAAACUGGAGGAAGGCGGGGACGACGUCAAGUCAUCAUGGCCCUUACGACCAGGGCUACACACGUGCUACAAUGGUCGGUACAAAGGGUUGCUACCUAGCGAUAGGAUGCUAAUCUCAAAAAGCCGAUCGUAGUCCGGAUUGGAGUCUGCAACUCGACUCCAUGAAGUCG
rnacentral:rRNA from 1 species